rnacentral:rRNA from 1 species
GGGAACUACGAGCAUAAGCUUAAAACCCAAAGGACUUGGCGGUGCUUUAGAUCCCCCUAGAGGAGCCUGUUCUAGAACCGAUAACCCCCGUUUAACCUCAUCCACUCUUGUCCUUCCCGCCUAUAUACCGCCGUCGUCAGCAUACCCUGUGAAGGUAUCAUAGUAAGCAAAAUUGGCAUAGCCCAAAACGCCAGGUCGAGGUGUAGCAAAUGAAUGGAGAAGAAAUGGGCUACAUUUCCUCUAUUAGGAAAUACGGACUAUACUUUGAAACAAGUAUAUGAAGGAGGAUUUAGCAGUAAGCGGAAAAUAGAGCGUUCCACUGAACCCGGCCCUGAAGCGCGCACACACCGCCCGUCACUCUCCCCAAGCCACUAAUCCUAAUACCUAAAAAACUAAAUGAGGCAAAGGGGAGGCAAGUCGUAACAUGGUAAGUGUACCGGAAGGUGCACUUGGAAAAAU